rnacentral:lncRNA from 10 species
AUUAAUCACCUAAAUCAUUCUAGAAACUGGGGAUACAGCAGUAAAGAAUACAAAAAAUCCUGCCCUUAUAGAGCAUACAUUCUAGAGGUGGGAAAGAGGCAAUAAAUAAGAUAAUUGAGUGCUAUAUAGUAUGUUAGGUAUUGAGUGCUAAGGAAAAUAAUAAAAUGAGGAAAGAGGAUAGGAAAUGCCAGAUGGUUUACAAGUUUAGCUAUUGUGUUCAAGAAAGUUCUCACAAAAAGGUAAGUUGAGUGAAGACCUGAAGGAGGUAAAAGAGUGACCUUUGCGGAUAUCUGGGAAAGACUGUCCCCAGGAGAAUGAACAAUAAGGGCAAAGACCCUGAGGUAGGUAUUAUCAUCUCCAUUUUUACAGAUGGGAAAAUUACUUGCCCAAGAGCCCAUUGCUUGAAGACGGAGCCAGGAUUCAAACUCAGGUCUGCUUGAUGUUAGAGCUAGUGUACCACACACCUGCCCAGCGACGUAGUGUGAGUGACAUUAGGCAAUCUAGAAACACUCUAUACUAUGGAUGAUGACACAAAGCCUAGAAGCAUGAAGCAACUUGCUGGGAUGAACACGUGUGGAUAAUGGCUGAGCUGAGACUGGUGUGCUGUCAUUUCCACUCCACCAUCCCUGCUUCCAGAAUCCAGGGAUUUGGUGGGGAUUAGAUAAAUUAGUACUUGUACAGCACCUCACACAGUGACCGGUACAGGGGAGAUGCACUAAAUGUGUUCAC